rnacentral:rRNA from 1 species
AGUUUGGUACAGGCUCAGAUUAACGCUGGCGGCAGGCCUAACACAUGCAAGUCGAGCGGUAGAGAGAAGCUUGCUUCUCUUGAGAGCGGCGGACGGGUGAGUAAUGCCUAGGAAUCUGCCUGGUAGUGGGGGAUAACGUUCGGAAACGGACGCUAAUACUGCAUACGUCCUACGGGAGAAAGCAGGGGACCUUCGGGCCUUGCGCUAUCAGAUGAGCCUAGGUCGGAUUAGCUAGUUGGUGAGGUAAUGGCUCACCAAGGCGACGAUCCGUAACUGGUCUGAGAGGAUGAUCAGUCACACUGGAACUGAGACACGGUCCAGAUUCCUACGGGAGGCAGCAGUGGGGAAUAUUGGACAAUGGGCGAAAGCCUGAUCCAGCCAUGCCGCGUGUGUGAAGAAGGUCUUCGGAUUGUAAAGCACUUUAAGUUGGGAGGAAGGGUUGUAGAUUAAUACUCUGCAAUUUUGACGUUACCGACAGAAUAAGCACCGGCUAACUCUGUGCCAGCAGCCGCGGUAAUACAGAGGGUGCAAGCGUUAAUCGGAAUUACUGGGCGUAAAGCGCGCGUAGGUGGUUUGUUAAGUUGGAUGUGAAAUCCCCGGGUUCAACCUGGGAACUGCAUUCAAAACUGACUGACUAGAGUAUGGUAGAGGGUGGUGGAAUUUCCUGUGUAGCGGUGAAAUGCGUAGAUAUAGGAAGGAACACCAGUGGGGAAGGCGACCACCUGGAUUAAUACUGACACUGAGGUGCGAAAGCGUGGGGAGCAAACAGGAUUAGAUACCCUGGUAGUCCACGCCGUAAACGAUGUCAACUAGCCGUUGGAAGCCUUGAGCUUUUAGUGGCGCAGCUAACGCAUUAAGUUGACCGCCUGGGGAGUACGGCCGCAAGGUUAAAACUCAAAUGAAUUGACGGGGGCCCGCACAAGCGGUGGAACAUGUGGUUUAAUUCCAAGCAACGCGAAAAACCUUACCAGGCCUUGACAUCCAAUGAACUUUCUAGAGAUAGAUUGGUGCCUUCGGGAACAUUGAGACAGGUGCUGCAUGGCUGUCGUCAGCUCGUGUCGUGAGAUGUUGGGUUAAGUCCCGUAACGAGCGCAACCCUUGUCCUUAGUUACCAGCACGUUAUGGUGGGCACUCUAAGGAGACUGCCGGUGACAAACCGGAGGAAGGUGGGGAUGACGUCAAGUCAUCAUGGCCCUUACGGCCUGGGCUACACACGUGCUACAAUGGUCGGUACAGAGGGUUGCCAAGCCGCGAGGUGGAGCUAAUCCCAUAAAACCGAUCGUAGUCCGGAUCGCAGUCUGCAACUCGACUGCGUGAAGUCGGAAUCGCUAGUAAUCGCGAAUCAGAAUGUCGCGGUGAAUACGUUCCCGGGCCUUGUACACACCGCCCGUCACACCAUGGGAGUGGGUUGCACCAGAAGUAGCUAGUCUAACCUUCGGGAGGACGGUUACCACGGUGUGAUUCAUGACUGGGGUGAAGUCGUAAGGGUUACGAAAAAGGUAGGUCCCCAAUUGUGUCUGAACACGCUGGUGCAUGAAUUACUUAGGGAGUCUGAUGCAUUGGGGUCUCUUGCCAUUCUCCCGCAUUUCUCCGUUCCCGGACAACACUCUCGCCCAUCUCAGUUCUACUAGCAUGUGUUCACAUGGCGGUCCCAGGGUGUCCACACAGGAUAUUACAACAGAAAAUAACAAAGCCUCCGUCCGGGCGGUUUUACCAUAUAGAUUUCAUAUAAAUGAUUCUGCCACGAAGCUUUAACCUGGCGCUGGGAGUGAAAAAU